AUUGAACGCUGGCGGCAGGCUUAACACAUGCAAGUCGAGCGGGGUGAUGGUGCUUGCACUAUCACUUAGCGGCGGACGGGUGAGUAAUGCUUAGGAAUCUGCCUAUUAGUGGGGGACAACAUCUCGAAAGGGAUGCUAAUACCGCAUACGUCCUACGAGAGAAAGCAGGGGAUCACUUGUGACCUUGCGCUAAUAGAUGAGCCUAAGUCGGAUUAGCUAGUUGGUGGGGGAAAGGCCUACCAAGGCGACGAUCUGUAGCGGGUCUGAGAGGAUGAUCCGCCACACUGGGACUGAGACACGGCCCAGACUCCUACGGGAGGCAGCAGUGGGGAAUAUUGGACAAUGGGGGGAACCCUGAUCCAGCCAUGCCGCGUGUGUGAAGAAGGCCUUAUGGUUGUAAAGCACUUUAAGCGAGGAGGAGGCUCUUUUGGUUAAUACCCAAGAUGAGUGGACGUUACUCGCAGAAUAAGCACCGGCUAACUCUGUGCCAGCAGCCGCAGUAA
rnacentral:rRNA from 1 species